AUGUUUCAAUUAACAAAAGUAGCUAGAGUUUAGAGAUACUCAUCCUUGUACAUAACUUUGGUAAACGAUUAAAAUGGAUGCUGGCGUGUGUCAGAGAAUUUUAACCACUCAAUCGCAUCACUCCAUACCGAAUCGUACAUUU
rnacentral:snoRNA from 1 species